GACGAACGCUGGCGGCGUGCCUAAUACAUGCAAGUUGAGCGCUGAAGGUUGGUACUUGUACCGACUGGAUGAGCAGCGAACGGGUGAGUAACGCGUGGGGAAUCUGCCUUUGAGCGGGGGACAACAUUUGGAAACGAAUGCUAAUACCGCAUAAAAACUUUAAACACAAGUUUUAAGUUUGAAAGAUGCAAUUGCAUCACUCAAAGAUGAUCCCGCGUUGUAUUAGCUAGUUGGUGAGGUAAAGGCUCACCAAGGCGAUGAUACAUAGCCGACCUGAGAGGGUGAUCGGCCACAUUGGGACUGGGACACGGCCCAAACCCCUACGGGAGACAGCAGUAGGGAAUCUUCGGCAAUGGACGAAAGUCUGACCGAGCAACGCCGCGUGAGUGAAGAAGGGUUUCGGAUCGUAAAACUCUGUUGGUAGAGAAGAAAGUUGGUGAGAGUGGAAAGCUCAUCAAGUGACGGUAACUACACAGAAAGCGACGGCUAACUACGUG
rnacentral:rRNA from 1 species